rnacentral:lncRNA from 1 species
GAAAUAAAAAAUACAACGUUUUCUCGAAGUAGGGUAUUUAAUGUUGAAAAGUUUUGUUUAGAAAAGAAAACAUAUUAUGGAUAUAUAUAUAUUUUUUUGGGUUUGAUAUAUUACCAUUUUUGAUCAACCAUGUGACUAACUUCUUUUUUUUUUUUUGGGUAAGAAUGUGACUAACUUCUAUUGCAUUAGCAAUAAUUCAUUUGUCAAAAAAAUAGAAAACUGUGGAAGAGUGAAAAUAAAAGAUAAGUAAAUAACUGUUUUGUUAAUGGAUGCAAUGCAAGUAAAAACAAAUAUCUGUUUCAGAAAAAAAGAAAGUAAAAGCAAAUAUCCAAAGACACAUGGACUUCACA